rnacentral:rRNA from 1 species
ACGAACCGUACGAACGUUACUCGGAAUCACUGGGCUUAAAGGGUGCGUAGGCGGUCCGGUAAGUCGGGUGUGAAAUACCUCAGCUCAACUGAGGAAUUGCGCCCGAAACUGUCGGACUUGAGGGAGGCAGAGGUGGGCGGAACUUAGGGUGGAGCGGUGAAAUGCGUUGAUAUCCUAAGGAACACCAGUGGCGAAAGCGGCUCACUGGGCCUUUUCUGACGCUGAGGCACGAAAGCUAGGGGAGCGAACGG